UGUUCUGAGAAAGAGGAAGAUAAUUCCUUAUAGCAAUAUGUAAAAUUAUCUGAAGCUGAUUGGAGGCUAGCUGGAACUCAGAGCACAGUUUUGUCAGUUUAUCCUAAGUUGAUGAGAAUGAACUUGGACUCACUAUCAGGCUAAGAAGCGACUGGACACAGACUUGCCAGUUGUCAGGACUGGUUUGCAUGGAACUUUAUUGCGGGACCAUUUAGGAUGCCUGUGUGGAUGCUUCCUCUUUGUUUUAUGGCUUUUCAGAAAUACUGCAGAUAACAGCAUUUAAAAAUCAAGCUGCCAUUUUCAGUCCAUGCGCUUGCUUCUCUACACCAGUUCUAUCUGGCAGCUUCAGCUCAGCUCGGAUUGGAGUGGCCGGUGUUGUCAGAAGCAACUUUUGUUAUCCUCUCGGCAGAAGUGAUCAGAAAACCACGGCAGAAGGAAGAAGAUGAGUUGAAUAAGCUUCUAACAGGCUAAUAAGGAUUUUUUUGAAAUCUUCAUCUGAGCUAAGGUGCCUGCUAAACCUUACACCUCUGGACUUUCCGUUUCAGAUUCCUAUGAAGAAUUUCCGGCUGAUGCCUGGCUGUAACACAGUGAUAGCUCCUGCCCCUGAGAACAGGGAGCGAGGCUGGAGGGCCAGGAGAACGCCUUGCUGUUCGUUUUUGUGGCCACCGGGUGUCAUUCUAGGAGCAGACUUUGGCCAGCCUGGGAGCACUACUAUGGCAGCAGCACUGGAGGCUUCACAAGCGUAAGUCUUUGGGAGGUGGACAGAAGAUAGGUCUGUGGACUGGAGGAGUUCUGCUAUGGCGACACUGGCUUUCCGUGCUCUGGAGGACACUGUGUGGUCAGUGUUUUGUGGCCCCACUGAAGAGUCUGUGCCUUUCAAGAAACCCCAGAAAAUUAACUCAUCCCCAUCCUGCUAAGCCCGUAGGAAAAUGAGAUGUAUCUGGAAACAUUCAAAAGCCAAGAUUCAGACAAAAAAUUUGAAGGGGAGGACUAAGGCAUUUCAAGUUCCAGGAUAAAGCGGAGUAAUACAGGAUUUUGAAAAAUUUCGGUUUUGGAUUCCAACACCUAAAUUCCAUUUCAUGCUCACGGUAACAAGGAAGACUUGUACCAUCUGAAAAGGAAGAGCGAAGAAAUAAGAUCCUCUGCUCAGCUGGUAGCUGUCCUUAGGUAUGUUCCGAUCAGCGGCAUGAACCACAAAUAGUGCCCAGCAAUUGGCGAGUGGCAGAUGCCCGAAUACCACGUUUUUCAUCUCCUUUCAAUAUCCUUGACUCAUGCAUCCUGUCUGAGCUAAUGUUAGUUUCCUGAUUGCAGUCUGUCUGCACCCUUGGACUCUCAACAAGGGCCUGAGCGAUCCCAGAAAGCUCACUCUUCCUCUCUGACUUCAGCUUCACUGUGCUUUUAGUGACUGUCUCUCAAAGCUACCUUGUUAUGCCAAUCCACAUCUGGAAUCUCUGGAUUUACACUGGUAUAGCAGUCCACUGCUUUUCCUCUAAUUUUAAAAUAAUUCUAGACCAUCACAUAAAAAUACCAUUCAGUUCUGACUUUAUUUGACUUCUAAGAAGAAAAUGAGCUACCACCACCACCAGUUAUACUCAUCAUACUGCCAUUAUUACAUUAUCACGUUUUCCUGCUCGAACAAGAUGCCCCCAAAACAGAUCUGAAACA